rnacentral:rRNA from 1 species
UAUCCUUUGUUGCCAGCGGUCCGGCCGGGAACUCAAAGGAGACUGCCAGUGAUAAACUGGAGGAAGGUGGGGAUGACGUCAAGUCAUCAUGGCCCUUACGACCAGGGCUACACACGUGCUACAAUGGCGCAUACAAAGAGAAGCGACCUCGCGAGAGCAAGCGGACCUCAUAAAGUGCGUCGUAGUCCGGAUUGGAGUCUGCAACUCGACUCCAUGAAGUCGGAAUCGCUAGUAAUCGUGGAUCAGAAUGCCACGGUGAAUACGUUCCCGGGCCUUGUACACACCGCCCGUCACACCAUGGGAGUGGGUUGCAAAAGAAGUAGGUAGCUUAACCUUCGGGAGGGCGCUUACCACUUUGUGAUUCAUGACUGGGGUGAAGUCGUAACAAGGUAACCGUAGGGGAACCUGCGGUUGGAUCACCUCCUUACCUGAAAGAAGC